GUGGGAGGGGGCUUGCCCCCGAUGACAGUGUGUCAGUCAGCUUAUCUGUGGCUGAUGCACCGCAAUCGGGGGCAAGCCCCCUCCCAC
rnacentral:misc_RNA from 1 species